rnacentral:hammerhead_ribozyme from 1 species
CUGCUGACGAGUCCCAUAAUAGGACGAAACGGCCGUCCAG